rnacentral:tRNA from 1 species
UGGUGUGGCUCAAUUGGUAGAGCAGCUGACUUGUAAUCAGCAGGUUGUAGGUUCAAGUCCUAUCACC